GACGAACGCUGGCGGCGUGCUUAACACAUGCAAGUCGAACGGAAAGGCCCUGCUUUUGUGGGGUGCUCGAGUGGCGAACGGGUGGGUAACACGUGAGUAACCUGCCCUUGACUUUGGGAUAACUUCAGGAAACUGGGGCUAAUACCGGAUAGGAGCUCCUGCUGCAUGGUGGGGGUUGGAAAGUUUCGGCGGUUGGGGAUGGACUCGCGGCUUAUCAGCUUGUUGGUGGGGUAGUGGCUUACCAAGGCUUUGACGGGUAGCCGGCCUGAGAGGGUGACCGGCCACAUUGGGACUGAGAUACGGCCCAGACUCCAACGGGAGGCAGCAGUGGGGAAUAUUGCACAAUGGGCGGAAGCCUGAUGCAGCAACGCCGCGUGCGGGAUGACGGCCUUCGGGUUAUAAACCGCUUUCGCCUGUGACGAAGCGUGAGUGACGGUAAUGGGUAAAGAAGCACCGGCUAACUACGUG
rnacentral:rRNA from 1 species